AAAUAUUUCCACUUCCAGGUCUGUGGUUAGGGAUCAUCAUCUGUGCUGUCUCUCAGGCUGUGUGUUUUCUAGGCUUUAUUGCCCGGCUAAAUUGCAAAAAGCCUGUCAGCAGGCUCAGGUACAUGCCAGUUUGAAACGAAAUGCGGCCCAGGUCAGGACUGCUGCUUUCUCCCAGGACCCACUUCGCCCAGCAGGCCCUGGAAACCAUGGAGGAAUGUGGAUAAGAGAUGUUGAAAAAAAAAGAGGCGAUUCAGUCGGAUCAGCAGACACGCCAGGAAGAGUGUCUUGAGGUUCAUCCAACGGCCGCGUGGAAAUUGUCUGGGAGACAGCUGGUGCUGUGUUAACGUUAUUCAGCUGUGCCCAUGGAGGUCAAGAACUGAGAGUUCCAAGAUAUAUUUUCUGAUGAAGAAAAGGAAGGAAGGUAAAAAGUACGUUUUAGUCCAAAACAACAUCUGGA